GGGUGAAGGAACUAGGCAAAAUGGUACCGUAACUUCGGGAGAAGGUACGCUCUCGACGGUGAAGUCCCUCGCGGAUGGAGCUAUUGAGAGUCGCAGAUACCAGGUGGCUGCAACUGUUUAUUAAAAAACACAGCACUGUGCAAAAUCGUAAGAUGACGUAUACGGUGUGACGCCUGCCCGGUGCCGGAAGGUUAAUUGAUGGGGUUAGACUU
rnacentral:rRNA from 1 species